GCCUCGUGUGAUGACCGUCACGAUCUACCCAUCCCUAUUUAAGCCAAAAGAAAGAACACAUUCUACCAUCACUGCCACCACCUUUUGAUCGCUCAUCUACAUUCCCUGAAUCCCUACUUCUCGAGCCCUCGAUUUCUUCCUCCGAUCUCCCAUCGUCGUCGCCCCCAAGAUGGUCACCUGACAUAUCAAGAGUGCGAAGCAAGAUGCUUUAUGCAAGCUCCAAGGACAGGUUCAAGAGAGAACUAGAUGGCAUCCAGGUGGAGUUACAAGCAACUGAUCCAACUGAAAUGGGUCACGAUGUGAUAAGAGGCCGUGCCAAUUGAAUAUGUGGCUAUUCACCUCUUGUUUGUGCAUUGGAGUUGUUAUCCUUUAAUUGUUUUGCUCUUAUUGAAAUUUUCAUAGUUUUGAGGGACGUUUAGAUCCCUAGAUAUUGUGUGGGCUUGUGGUUUAGGUACUAAACAGAACCUUUCUAAAGCAUCUCCAUUUUGACUA